rnacentral:rRNA from 1 species
UACGUAGGUGGCAAGCGUUUGUCCGGAAUUAUUGGGCGUAAAGCGCGCGCAGGCGGCCUUUUAAGUCUGAUGUGAAAGCCCAGCGGCUCAACCGUGGAAGGUCAUUGGAAACUGAAAGGCUUGAGUACAGAAGAGGAAAGCGGAAUUCCACGUGUAGCGGUGAAAUGCGUAGAGAUGUGGAGGAACACCAGUGGCGAAGGCGGCGAUGCCUGGGUCGUGUAACUGACGCUGAGGCGCGAAAGCGUGGGGAGCAAACAGG